rnacentral:rRNA from 1 species
AACGAACGCUGGCGGCAUGCCUAACACAUGCAAGUCGAACGAGACCUUCGGGUCUCGUGGCGCACGGGUGCGUAACGCGUGGGAACCUGCCCUUAGGUUCGGAAUCACAGUUAGAAAUGACUGCUAAUACCGGCUAAUGUCUUAGGACAAAAGAUUUAACGCCUUUGGAUGGGCCCGCGUAAGAUUAGGUAGUUGGUGGGGUAAUGGCCUACCCAGCCGACGAUCUUUAGCUGGUCUGAGAGGAUGAUCAGCCACACUGGGAACUGAGACACGGCCCAGACUCCUACGGGAGGCAGCAGUGGGGAAUAUUGGACAAUGGGCGAAAGCCUGAUCCAGCAAUGCCGCGUUAGUGAUGAAGGCCUUAGGGUUGUAAAGCUCUUUUACCAGGUAUGAUAAUGACAGUACCUGGAGAAUAAGCUCCGGCUAACUCCGUGCCAGCCGCCGCGGUAA